AUUUUUGCCCCGUAAUAAAGCAAAGAUCACGAAAAGGCCCGAAAAAGUACAUUAAGGUCAAAAUUUAGAGUAGAAAAAAAAAAACAAUAGAAGAAUUCCAUUUUCCUUCCUCAUUCAUUGGAGAGCUCUCUUUGGGCUUUCCGAAAAGGUAUCACAUGCCAAGUGUUUGAAAUCACGGUCUAAAAGUUCUAGAGUCAUACAUUUUUGACAAAAGAAAAAGAGAAAAACCGAAAAAAAGAGGGAUGCAACACGAGGACUUUCCUGGAGGUCACCCAUCCUAGUACUACUCUUGCCCAAGCACGCUUAACUGCGGCGUUCAAAUGGGAUCCGGUCCAUUAGUGCUGGUAUGAUCGCAUUUGUUACUAAAUGCAAUGCAAUCGUAUCUAUUCUUUUUUGAAGAUUUUAUGAUCCAUUUGCCGUGGGUCCCACCAUCUAUGUAGGAAUACCCUUUCUUGUUUGUAAGAGCUUUGAUACAUGCUAAAUAUUCGAAAACAAUGUCCGAACAUAUAAUUUUCGCCCCGUAAUAUAGCAAAGAUCACGAAAAGGCCCGAAAAAGUACAUUAAGGUCAAAAGUUGGAGUAGAAAAAAAAAUCUAUAGAAGAAUUCCAUUUUCCUUCCUCAUUCAUCAGAGAGCUCUCUUUGGGCUUUCCGAAAAGGUAUCACAUGCCAAGUUUGGCCUCACGGUCUAAAAGUUCUAGACUCAUACAUUUUUAAUAAAAAAAAAAAGAGAAAACCCGAAAAAAAGAGGGAGGCAGGUGAAUAACAAAGCGGAUAAGAUAACAUGCAAUCAAAU
rnacentral:sRNA from 1 species